AACAUAGCGUUAAUGCACCAGAUCCCAUUAGAACUCUGCAGUUAAGCGUGCUCAGGCUAGAGUAGUACUGGGAUGGGUGAGUGCUCGGGAAGUCCUAGUGUUU
rnacentral:rRNA from 1 species